rnacentral:pre_miRNA from 1 species
AGUGGAAUUGUUGGGUUAUAUGGUAAUUCUAUGUUUGACUUUUUGAGGAACCACCAAACUCUUUCCCAUAGUAGUUGAACCAUUUUACAUUCCCACCAGCAGU